CGCCGGUCUUCAUGUGGACAUUCUGUAGAGGUCGGAUAUCUUCAUGCGGCUGUGUGCAAUCAAAAGGGACUCUCUCCUAUGUGAGUUAUUUGUAGAAAUCAGCAACCCAUAAUAUGUUAAUGAGUUUUGAACUUGUUAGACUAGUUUUGAUAGAUCUAAGAGUUAGAUCUAGACUGCAGCAUCGAUUAGAUCGAUGUAGAUUUUUAUUUUUAGAUCUUAAGUUUAUGUUA
rnacentral:lncRNA from 1 species